rnacentral:lncRNA from 1 species
UUUUUUUCCCCCUUGAUUUUUCUCUGUCAUCUCUGAUUACAUCUCCCCGCGUUCGCUGGGCUCCCCCGAGGCCGAGGCGCGGAGCCCUCGGGAGAGCGGCGCGGCCGGGCCGCAGGUGCGGGUGGGGGGCGCGGAGGAGGCCGCUCAGGGCGGGGCGAGCGGGUCUGGUCUGCGGGGAGGGAGAGGAGCGUCCUCGCAGCGGGAAAGAGAGCUACCGUGUCUGCGCCGCAGCGAGGGAGGGCAUGUCAGCCUGGGAUUUUUCCACCCAAAUGGAUGUAGCCAGAGAAGCACAGGUACACCUGGGGACGAACCGGUCCCUCUGUGAGCGUGUAGGGGUAUCGGCACCCCCCAAAUGGAUCUCGUCCUUUCCUAACUUAGGGUUUACAUGCAGAGAAUCUUUGGAUAGCUGCAUUCGCGUUUCACAAAUCAGGGCUUGUCUUUUUCCUCUAUUAAAGCUAACCUCCUUACAGUGGAUCCUGGCUAGCCUUAGUAAGACAGUGAAGGCGACUAUGUGGCAUACACGUCAUUGGCAGGUGUUUUCAGACUUGUAAAAGGUGAUUUAGCUGGGGAAAAAGCCCUCAUCAUCACGUCCAGCCUUGGGGAUGGCACAAAGGAACGGCCUGGUGCUUCUCCCACUGAAGACAAAACCAACACUUGCUUUAAUGGGGGCAGAACGUAUAUAAAUCCUGUGUUGGUGAGAGUUAAGGGAGGGGGGCAUAAAUUAGAAACAAUUACAAAAAGACCAGUGUGUAAAAAAAAAAUAUAAUAAAAUUGGGAGACUGGUGAUUCAUUGGCCUAAUUAUCCUCCACAAGACGUUAGGGUAUGGGUUUAAUGUUGUGGGUUGGAUUCUCCCUCCCCCAGCCUGUGUCUCGUCAACGCGCAUUAUCCAUGGGGAAAAGGAGAUGCAGGUCAUGUUUAAGCAGCGUUAAUGAGAGCACAGUAUUUUUCCUGAAGGUUACAUUAGCCAGGUUAGCAAAUUUCAGGUAAAGUAUUCUGGAAAACCUUCCAUUUCUUGCGCUUUCCCGCUGGUAGCAGUUUUUAACGAGACUUGAAACAUUAGGCAAACACAGAAAGCAGAAUUCAAGCAUCAGACGAACC